GACGUAGGAUGCAAGCGUUGUCCGGAUUUAUUGGGCGUAAAGAGUUCGUAGGCGGUUCGUUAAGUCUGAUGUUAAAGAUCGGGGCUCAACCCUGGGAGUGCAUUGGAUACUGGCAAGCUAGAGUGCGGUAGAGGGUAGUGGAAUUCCCGGUGUAGCGGUGAAAAUGCGUAGAGAUCGGGAGGAACACCAGUGGCGAAGGCGGCUACCUGGACCAGCACUGACACUGAGGCACGAAAGCGUGGGGAGCAAACAGG
rnacentral:rRNA from 1 species